CGGGCUCAAGUUUUAGCAUUUUUAUUUGGGAGAAGAUUGGGAAAAAUUUUAGGCCAAUUUUCAGGCCGAGCCCGGGCAUAGCAAAUGGGCCUAAAAUUUUAAUUGGGACCAACCUAAACCUAACCCGGCCCGACCCAUGAUCACCUCUAAUUUUAUCCUUACUAUUAAAAAAAUAAACAAAUUAAUUCUUAUACACUAAAUCAAAGGGUAAAUUAAUAUUUUUAUAAAAAUAUAUAUAUAUUUUUACUGUAAUGGGCCCAUUUCGCCCGGGCUUACACAAAAACCAAAAAAACAAAAUAAACCAAAAUAAAAAAACUAAAAUUAAAGUCCAAAAACAUUCCUCAUACAAAUUGUAGCAUUUUACAAAUAAACCCAGCCCAAUUACUAAAUAACCCAAAUCCCAGCCCACUUCUAAAACAGUCCAGAUGGCCCAAACUUUGGCUCCAGGAGCUGAAACCCUAGGACUAGUUUGCGCCGCAGCCUCGCAUGGAAUCGGUCUCCACGUGCACCACCACCUCCAGUUGGCUCCUCCUGCAACAGAUUAACAAACCACAGCAAACAACCAAUGGACAGUAAAAGAGAAUAGCAGAAGGAUCUAGGGGAUUUUCUUUUCUUUUCUUUUUUUAUUUUUUAUUUAUUUUUCCUGAUUCGGUUAUAAAAGGAAACCGAUUGUAAUCUAAGAGGGGACUCUUUUUUCCUUUCCUUUCCUUUUUUCACAUUUACGCAUACUGGAUACAAAUACAAGAACCAUUAAAAAUCAGUUUGAGAAAGGUGAUUUUGGAAUCUCGUUUUUCUUUCGAUUUUGCUUCUAUUUCUUUGAUUUAUCUACUGCAUGUAAAACAAAUAAAGGGGAGGGACUUAUCUUUAUAAUGGCCUUCGAAUCCUUGUUUGUUUCGUUGAAAUCGAAGUUUAGAUGGGGAUUAGGAGGAUGUGGCUUCAAAGGGAAUCGGGUUAGGCCCUCGUGUGACGCCAUCCGCCAACCACGGUGGUGAAAUGGCAGUUGGGGGCGAAGAACCGUCAGAUUCGGCCGAAUAUGAGAGAUAGGAAGAUUAGGUUUUUGUUUUGAUUUUUUAAAAUGGCUAGGUGAUUCAUUUUAGGGUUUAUUUUUUUUAUAAAGAGCAUCAGACGACGUCGUUUUAGGCCAACUUCAAUGGCCUCAAAAUGGUACCGUUUAGGAGCCAUGGCUCGAUGACUCGACCCAUGCAUGGCUAGGAUCUGCGCGUUUUGGUAUUUAAGGGAA
rnacentral:lncRNA from 1 species